UUUUUUGGUAUAUCUCAUCUAGUAAGUGCCUAUGUUGUGAUGCCUUCAGGUUUGGAAAUACACCAGGAACUGUUUCAAGUUAACCAAAAAUAAUUUAUCCACCAACAAAAGGUUUUGACACUGUCCUCUGCUACAUGUAACAAUUAUUGUUCAAUUUUGGUUUUAGGUUGCCAUUUUUUCUUCUUUUUUUAUCUCAUCUAGCAAUUGCCGUUGUGAUGUCUUUCUUUUGAUACAGAUUCAGGAACAUUGUUCAAUACAGGUUUCAAAACACUCAGUGUUUCGAGUUAGCAGUCAGUAAUUUCUUGUCAGUUAUAAUUUCAUGAUUUGGCAUUGACUGUCCCCUGCCACACAUUAUGUCUACUGUGUGGGAGGGGAGGUGAUGGUCUAGUGGUUAAAGCGUUGGGCUUGAGACCAGAGGAUCCUCAGUUCAAAUCCCAGCCUGAUCGGAAAAUCACUAAGGGCCCUUGGUUAAGGUCCUUAAUCCCCUAGUUGCUCCUGGGGUGUAGUGGGCGCCUUGCAUGGCAGCAGCCUCACAUCGGGGUGAAUGUGAGGCAUUAUUGUAAAGCGCUUUGAGCCUCUGACCAGAUGUGGUAGGGUUUGUCUUCAUUAUGUAUUAUUUUAAUCUGAUGACUUACAAGAUAUUAGUAUUCAUUGGUUUUAAGUUAUUGUCUUCAAAAUAUUGCUAAGGCGGACUGGUUUACACACUUACUGAUCUACAUUUUUGUUGUCAAAUCCCUUCACUGUUACAAGUGCAGGAACAUUCAACUUUAUAUCUUGAAAUUGUUUUUGGAAACCACUGUUUUGUUUAGUUUUGUAUCUGACUUUAGUUUCGAAUUUGAUUGAGCAGCUCAUAAUUUUCUUGUCGUGCUUAAAUCUUCAUUUCUCCCUCAUAAUUAAACUUAAAAUGUCAAUGCAUUAAAUGGUAUUCAUUAGUUUUGACUAAAUUUUGACAUUGCAUCUUACAAUUUUGACACUGGGUUUUUCCCCUCAUGAAACUCUAAGAACAGACUGGAUAUUGUUAAUUCAGCCCAUGUGGACAGCGUGAGGUCUGUUGUUUUAAAAUGCUGUGGUCAGAAUCAGAAUGAUCUUUGUCAUUAUAUAUACAGUAUGAACAAUGGAAUUACUGAAGGCUUUUCUCAAUAUAUAGAAACUCAAAAUACAGAAGAAAAGAAACAAUAGAGACCACAAGUAACAGUCCUGGAAACAAAAAGUCAUAACAGAUUGUGACACCUACAUAGAUCCUUGUCAUUUGAUUGGUGGAUUGUGUGUCAUGCAACAUUCUCCAUUUGUCCCAUUGUAUGAGUGAUGUCAGGUACCAUGCAUUUUUGUGCCGUAUGUUAUGCUCUAUUGAACACCUCCAUUAGCUUUUAGUAGUAAUGCUACCGUGCUACAAGAACUCCAGUUAUCGCAGUGUUUGUGAGGACAUCUUUAGCAGACAUACAAGCGCUUCUUUGCUGGUUUGAGGAAAGCAGCCAUGUGCUUCCACUUGUUUAGCGGUGUGUCGGCAAGUUGCCUGCAACGCGGAGUAAACUGGGCAGACACCCAGUCAGGUGUGUGCACCGCUGUUGUGCGCUUCCUGCUCCAAGAAGCAACACCUAUCUAAUUUUAAGUAUAGUAAUUUAUGUGGAUCUAUUUAGGUGUCAGAAAACAAACACUGAAUGUUUUCCAUUUGCGUAAUUAAAAGAAUAUCACUAUAGUUGUUGAAAGAUGGAAUAUACCAUUCAAUGAGGUGCCAGCUGAGCUGAAUGGUACAUGUUAUCUUUGAGCUCAUGCAAAUAUUCUUACCAUUGCACUCAAACAUUAUCUGUAUAAUAUACAACAUAAUGGCAUGUUUACAAACACUGCAAAAUAAUGCAUAGAGGACCUAAUGUUACGGAGGUCGCAGCUUCGGGAUAGCAGCUGUUCCUCAGUUGGGUGGUUCUGGAUUUUAUUGACCCAAAUACAAUGGCAGCAGUUCAGACAGAGAAUUGCCAGAGUGUGUGUAGUCCCUAAAAAUGGUGCUGGCUUUCCUCUUCAGUUGACCAGUGUAAAUGAUGUCCAGGGUUGGGAGUACCAUCCCAAUAAUGUGUUUUGCUGCCUUCACCAUACAGUACAAGUUUGUGUACUCAGUGACUGUGGAACUGACAUACCACACAGUGUCACAGUUAGUCAGGAUAGUCUCUGUGGUGUUCCCGUAAAGGAUCACCAACAGUUUCUGUGGGAGCUCGGUCCUGUUUCAGUUUCCUGAGUGAGAUUAGUCAUUGCUAGACCGUCUUGACCAGCUGUGUGGAAUUGGAAACCGUUGUGAGUUAACAGUCACCAAUUUGCAGUACUGUUUCAAAUUUUGGCGUCCUCCUCAGCCACAUGUUCGAUUCACUCUUUAAUUCAGUUUUACUUUCCUGUUGUGUUGUGAAGAUGGUCAUUGGAGGGAGGAGUGUACCCAUGAGCACAUAACCUGCCCUUUGGUCAACAUGUGACAGACAAACUACGUCACUUCAACUACAUCUGUUAAAAUUUUCCAUAAUCCAUCCAGCAGAUGGCACGCAUGUCUAUGCGAUGUUACAUGGGCAAAACACUCUUUCAUUUUCC